GUAUAGGUUUAUAGCCACAAAGGCCAUUGGGUUACAUUCUAUAACAUACAAUGGGGUAUAUGAAGAAACAUAGGCCUGGAAAUGUAAGGAGAGACCGUAAAGUCAAUCCCCAAUACCCGAGUGACUAGCAUUCAGAGAGAUAUCCAGGUCUACAAAAGGUGCACAGGUGGAGAUAUAAAGAUGACAAGUAUGCACAUGCUCCCUAGAGAACCAGCAGCAACUCAUCAGGUUUAUUUCAAUAAUGAUCCUUCCGCAGGUUCACCUACGGAAA
rnacentral:misc_RNA from 1 species